UGCCAGCCGCCGCGGUAAUACGGAGGGUGCGAGCGUUAAUCGGAAUUACUGGGCGUAAAGCGCAUGCAGGCGGUUGAUUAAGCGAGAUGUGAAAGCCCCGGGCUUAACCUGGGAACUGCAUUCGAUACUGCAGAACUAGAGUAUGGUAGAGGGAAGUGGAAUUUCCGGUGUAGCGGUGAAAUGCGUAGAUAUCGGAAGGAACACCAGUGGCGAAGGCGACUUCCUGGGCCAAUACUGACGCUGAGGUGCGAAAGCGUGGGGAGCAAACAGGAUUAGAUA
rnacentral:rRNA from 1 species